UGGAAAUGUCUGGGUGUUAACAAGAUCUCUCUUGCUCUACAUCAUACUGCUGGCUAGGGUCCUGUUAUUACAGCACGUUACUGACACCAGUGAUGUGACUCUUACCCUCGAGACAAUGUACUGUAUAAUGAGGGAACCCAAAAGUGUUGACGGGAAGCACUUUCCUGGGCGACAAAUCGUGAUCGGCAGCUCAUGCUCAGAAGAAAAGGGGGAGACGUGCUUCACCAAUUGAAUCACAUUGGAAGCGAAAGCAGGAAUGUUUUUGAAGAGCCCCCUUUAUGAAUGUAUGAAUUUCAAAUGGUCUAAUCUUUGAGGAUUGAUUGCCAACAGAGGGCCCCAAAGGAUUCGUUUGUUCGUGAGAGAAGCUAGUGAGCGAUAGUUCGCCUAUUUUUUUUUUUAAUAUCGAGGCAGGAAGAAAAGCAGUGUGUUAUCAUUAAAAAGAGAUCCGAACCGGUGUCGGACUGAGUUGUCCCCCGU